AGAGUUUGAUCMUGGCUCAGAGUGAACGCUGGCGGCGUGCUUAACACAUGCAAGUCGAACGAGAACGGAUUAUAGCUUGCUAUAAUUGUCAGCUAAGUGGCGCACGGGUGAGUAAUAUAUAGUUAACCUGCCCUCAAGAAAGGAAUAACAGUUGGAAACGACUGCUAAUGCCCUAUAUGCCUUUAAUACAUAAGUAUGCAAGGGAAACGCUUUAGUGCUUGAGGAUGGGACUGUAUGGUAUCAGCUUGUUGGUGAGGUAAUGGCUCACCAAGGCUAUGACGCCUAACUGGUUUGAGAGGAUGAUCAGUCACACUGGAACUGAGACACGGUCCAGACUCCUACGGGAGGCAGCAGUGGGGAAUAUUGCACAAUGGACGAAAGUCUGAUGCAGCAACGCCGCGUGGAGGAUGACACAUUUCGGUGCGUAAACUCCUUUUAUAUAGGAAGAUAAUGACGGUACUAUAUGAAUAAGCACCGGCUAACUCCGUGCCAGCAGCCGCGGUAAUA
rnacentral:rRNA from 1 species